rnacentral:rRNA from 1 species
AUUGAACGCUGGCGGCAGGCCUAACACAUGCAAGUCGAGCGACCGGCGGACGGGUGAGUAAUGUAUGGGGACUGCUCGAUGGAGGGGGAUAACUACUGGAAACGGUAGCUAAUACCGCAUACUAUCGGAUAACCCAGAUGGGAUUAGCUGGUUGGUGAGGUACUGGCUCACAAAGGCGACGAUCCCUAGCUGGUCUGAGAGGAUGAUAAGCCACACGGGGACUGGGACACGGCCCAGACUCCGACGGAGGCAGCAGUGGGGAAUAUUGCACAAUGGGCGCAAGCCUGAUGCAGCCAUGCCGCGUGUAUGAAGAAGGCCUUAGGGUUGUAAAGUACUUUAAGUUGGGAGGCGUUACCGACAGAAGAAGCACCGGCUAACUCCGUGCCAGCAGCCGCGGUAAUUC